rnacentral:lncRNA from 1 species
UGAUAAUGACUUUAUAAUUUAUAUUAAAAAUAUUCUUCAAAAAAUAUUCUUAAAAAAUAAUAUAUUAAUAAAAAAGUACAAAACAUAAAUAAGUGAGUGCUAUCGGUUCUCAUGUAUUUGAAACUUUUGAAUUUUAUCUUAAAUUGUAAGUGAUAUUUUUAACUUAUUUUUAAUUUUUACAAUUAAUAUUGUUAACUAUAUAUAUAUAUAUAUAUAAUAUUAUUAAAAAUUAUUAAUUUAUAUUUUAUAAAAUAUUAAUAAUAUGCUGAAGACGGGUUGCUAGGCGGGAUGGAUUAUGAGAAAUAUUUUUAAUCCGCCAUAAAUUCAGAGCGAGAGGAGUGACGAAAUUUUGGUAGUCGGUG